rnacentral:rRNA from 1 species
UACGGAGGGUGCAAGCGUUAUCCGGAUUCACUGGGUUUAAAGGGUGCGUAGGUGGGUAUGUAAGUCAGUGGUGAAAUCCCCGAGCUCAACUUGGGAACUGCCGUUGAUACUAUAUAUCUUGAAUGUCGUAGAGGUAAGCGGAAUAUGUCAUGUAGCGGUGAAAUGCUUAGAGAUGACAUAGAACACCAAUUGCGAAGGCAGCUUACUAUGCGAAUAUUGACACUGAGGCACGAAAGCGUGGGUAGCAAACAGG